rnacentral:rRNA from 1 species
UACGUAGGGUGCGAGCGUUGUCCGGAAUUAUUGGGCGUAAAGAGCUUGUAGGCGGUUUGUCGCGUCUGCUGUGAAAAUCCGGGGCUCAACCCCGGACUUGCAGUGGGUACGGGCAGACUAGAGUGUGGUAGGGGAGACUGGAAUUCCUGGUGUAGCGGUGGAAUGCGCAGAUAUCAGGAGGAACACCGAUGGCGAAGGCGGCAUCCUGGACCAAUAUUGACGCUGAGGAGCGAAAGCCAGGGGAGCAAACGGG